CUGCGUCUUCUGCGUGCUCAGAAACCACACUUCCCGUCAGUCUUGGCGCUCGCCUUUGGUUCGUGCGGUCUCCGCCUGCAGUUUCUGGGGAGAUGGAAGGGGUAGUUGGCGCCAAGGCUUCGGCAGAGCCAGAGCUCUGUACGUGCCCUAGCAGCCCUGGCGCCAGCGUUCUCUCAGGAGGUGCUUGUGGCUGCUCCGCGGAACUCUGGGAAAGGCGGUUCGGAAAUGCCGUGGGAAGUAGCAAGCUGCUCUGCUUCCCUUAUGCCGCGUGGCGGGCGGUUAGGAGCGGCUCGGGCAGCGGUCACGCAGGGCGCUGCGUUGUAGGGGUGAGGAGCGAGUCCUGGGCGCUCCCAGGGGCUGCGUGCAGAGCAGCCGUCGGUCUGGCCAGGCUCUGCUUCUGUCUGAGCUCCGGCCCCACAGACCUGACUUCUGGGGCAGGUGAAGGCACGCUUCAGUGACGGGAUGCAUUAGAAGUUGUGAAUCUGACAUUCUCAUAGCAGACUGACUCAGUUAUCUGUCAUAAGAAAACUCCAGUUAAGCUGGAUUAGCUGGGACGUGCCAGGUAUUGAGACUUGUGACUGAUAAGGUCUGAUAAGAAGAACUGCUUUUAUACAAAACAAGAAGAAAACCCAACCUACAACAACAAAAAAGGCACUCUAGAAGGAAGUAUCUUUGAAAAUGAAGGGAAGGUACAACAAGGGCAGGCUGCAGACUGUUAAAGUACUGAGGCUUAAAAUUGAAGUGUGAGAAUUUCAAUUCAGUGCAAAAUCCACUGCAGUUUUGGUUGGCACGAAUUCUCCUGAGCAGUGUUUAUGUAACUUAAUCCUGACUGAAGAGCAAGGUGAUUUCUGGCUGUACAGCAGCAGCACGUGUGCCCGUGAGAAGAAAAAUUCUAACCCAUGGGUAAUGUAGGUGUUGAUUCACAGCUGUGCUUCUGACAUGUCAUAUCUAGGAACAAUGCUGUAGUUCAGGACAGCACUUAGGAAAGCUAAAAAUUCUCCAUCAAUACUGCAGAUAAUGCACUUUAAAAUAAAUAAAUAAACAAUAUCAUUCACAAUUAGAGACUACACCUCUGCCCAGUGGAAGUCUUCAAGUACCACUAGCAUACCAUCACCAGGACUAGAGACCCUGUGAAAGGAAGGAAAACAACAAGAACAACAACAACAAAACAACAACAACAACAAAAACAUAGAACAACCAGUUAAAGUACUGAAGUAGCUGGGAAUAAAUCUUGUUAAAUACAGACCAGCAAAUAUCUUUAGAGAAUUAGAGAGGACUGAGACAAAGACUACAGUGCCUCUACUAAAAGACUGAAAACUACUCUUCUGUGGAGUGGAAUGAUAUUCUGAUGGCUAAUACUGAAAGCAGUGUGCAUACAGAUGGAAUUACACUCACUUCAAAGUGAAGCAUUAAUGUAUUCAGUGGAAGAAUGCACUUGUAGUGACUGCGGCUUGGUAAAACCUCAGUCUGGCUGUGAAACUCGACUUCUAUUAGCAGCUACAGAAGAAGGAGCUGCUGUUCCAGUUACUGCAAAAUCUUUUGAUUACUGCAACUAUAUUCUGGGUGCUAGGUGCCUAUGACAGUGGUACAUUUUUACUGCAUAAUAAUAAAUCAAUUAUUCCAGUAAAGCUAUUAAUACUUGCAGUCAGUGGGGAAGGCUAGUGCAUCCUCCUGUUAUACUCUGCCUUGAACAUUCACUGUUACAUUAUUUCUAAUUCUAGUGUGUCUUUGGUCAAGUAUUUCUAUAUUAGAAAUUUAUUUAUUAUUUAGAAACACCAAUCCAUUUAUUGGAAUUUUUAAUUUCUGGAAGUCUCUGUGUAGAAUGGCUCUUCCAGUGUCUUGAGAUUCCAUCUGCUUAUGUGAGAUAUUUAAAUAAAUUUGAAAUUAUGUGUUUCACGAUAAAAAUCAGAUCUUAUGCUGAAAAUUACUUCAGGCAGACACGAAGACUACAUAGCAUUCCCAGUCUUGUAAAGCGUAGUUGCAAAUAAACCUCUGAUGCUUGAAAUAAGAACGGCAUAUGUCUUUACACCGGACAGUACCUCCGGGUCACACUGGAGCAGGCUGUGGUUCUGUGAAAUGCCAUACGUGUAAUCACAAUGUAUUUCCUGAUGGUGGAGAAUUUAAUUGCCAGCCACUUUUCAGAAUGUGUUCUAUAAAAAAUUUGUAGCUGCAUAGG